rnacentral:tRNA from 1 species
GCCGUCAUCGUCUAGAGGCCUAGGACACAUGGUUCUCAGCCAUGGAACUCGGGUUCAAAUCCCGAUGACGGUACCA